rnacentral:tRNA from 1 species
AGGAUUAUAGUUUAAAAAAACUUUUGAUUUGCAAUCAAAAAAUAUUAAUAUUAUAUUUAAUUUAUCUUA